rnacentral:rRNA from 1 species
GUUCGGGGUGGAAGCGUGGCGACACGUGCAGCUGACGAAUACUAAUCGAUCGAGGACUUAACCAA